rnacentral:rRNA from 1 species
GAUGAACGCUGGCGGCGUGCCUAAUACAUGCAAGUCGAGCGAACAGACGAGGAGCUUGCUCCUCUGACGUUAGCGGCGGACGGGUGAGUAACACGUGGAUAACCUACCUAUAAGACUGGUAUAACUUCGGGAAACCGGAGCUAAUACCGGAUAAUAUAUUGAACCGCAUGGUUCAAUAGUGAAAUACGGUUUUGCUGUCACUUAUAGAUGGAUCCGCGCCGCAUUAGCUAGUUGGUAAGGUAACGGCUUACCAAGGCGACGAUGCGUAGCCGACCUGAGAGGGGGAUCGGCCACACUGGAACGGAGACACGGUCCAGACUACUACGGGAGGCAGCAGUAGGGAAUCGUCCGCAAUGGGCGAAAGCCUGACGGAGCAACGCCGAGUGAGUGAUGAAGGUCUUCGGAUCGUAAAACUCUGUUAUUAGGGAAGAACAAAUGUGUAAGUAAAUAUGCACGUCUUGACAGUACCUAAUCAGAAAGCCACGGCUAACUACGUG